GAUGAACGCUGGCGGCGUGCCUAAUACAUGCAAGUCGAGCGAACGGACUAGAAGCUUGCUUCUCUGAUGUUAGCGGCGGACGGGUGAGUAACACGUGGAUAACCUACCUAUAAGACUGGGAUAACUUCGGGAAACCGUAGCUAAUACCGGAUAAUAUUUUGAACCGCAUGGUUCAAAAGUGAAAGACGGUCUUGCUGUCACUUAUAGAUGGAUCCGCGCUGCAUUAGCUAGUUGGUAAGGUAACGGCUUACCAAGGCAACGAUGCAUAGCCGACCUGAGAGGGUGAUCGGCCACACUGGAACUGAGACACGGUCCAGACUCUUACGGGAGGCAGCAGUAGGGAAUCUUCCGCAAUGGGCGAAAGCCUGACGGAGCAACGCCGCGUGAGUGAUGAAGGUCUUCGGAUCGUAAAACUCUGUUAUUAGGGAAGAACAUAUGUGUAAGUAACUGUGCACAUCUUGACGGUACCUAAUCAGAAAGCCACGGCUAACUACGUG
rnacentral:rRNA from 1 species